UGGACCUUACUUCUACAGGAUCAUUUCUGCAGUAAGUGAUCGAUUGCAAAUAAUGUAAAAUUUUGCUAUUUAUACCUGGAGCACUCCAAGUACUACUGAAGG
rnacentral:snoRNA from 1 species